rnacentral:rRNA from 1 species
AUUGAACGCUGGCGGCAGGCCUAACACAUGCAAGUCGAGCGGUAGCACAGGGAGCUUGCCCCUGGGUGACGAGCGGCGGACGGGUGAGUAAUGUCUGGGAAACUGCCUGAUGGAGGGGGAUAACUACUGGAAACGGUAGCUAAUACCGCAUAACGUCGCAAGACCAAAGAGGGGGACCUUCGGGCCUCUUGCCAUCAGAUGUGCCCAGAUGGGAUUAGCUAGUAGGUGGGGUAACGGCUCACCUAGGCGACGAUCCCUAGCUGGUCUGAGAGGAUGACCAGCCACACUGGAACUGAGACACGGUCCAGACUCCUACGGGAGGCAGCAGUGGGGAAUAUUGCACAAUGGGCGCAAGCCUGAUGCAGCCAUGCCGCGUGUAUGAAGAAGGCCUUCGGGUUGUAAAGUACUUUCAGCGGGGAGGAAGGCGAUAAGGUUAAUAACCUUGUCGAUUGACGUUACCCGCAGAAGAAGCACCGGCUAACUCCGUGCCAGCAGCCGCGGUAAUAC